rnacentral:rRNA from 1 species
GGCAAAAGCUCAAAUUUGAAAUCUGGCUCUUUCAGAGUCCGAGUUGUAAUUUGAAGAAGGUAUCUUUGGGUCUGGCUCUUGUCUAUGUUUCUUGGAACAGAACGUCACAGAGGGUGAGAAUCCCGUGCGAUGAGAUGAUCCAGGCCUAUGUAAAGUUCCUUCGAAGAGUCGAGUUGUUUGGGAAUGCAGCUCUAAGUGGGUGGUAAAUUCCAUCUAAAGCUAAAUAUUGGCGAGAGACCGAUAGCGAACAAGUACAGUGAUGGAAAGAUGAAAAGAACUUUGAAAAGAGAGUGAAAAAGUACGUGAAAUUGUUGAAAGGGAAGGGCUUGAGAUCAGACUUGGUAUUUUGUAUGUUACUUCUUCGGGGGUGGCCUCUACAGUUUAUCGGGCCAGCAUCAGUUUGGGCGGUAGGAGAAUUGCGUUGGAAUGUGGCACGGCUUCGGUUGUGUGUUAUAGCCUUCGUCGAUACUGCCAGCCUAGACUGAGGACUGCGGUUUAUACCUAGGAUGUUGGCAUAAUGAUCUUAAGUCGCCCGUCUUGAA